GUUCUGUCUCCCUUUCUGAUAUUUCCCACACAUUUCUUCUCCCUUCCCUUAUUUUCCCUUUCACUAUUAUUUAUAUUCCCCAAAUGAAUGAGAACAUAUAAUGUUUGUCCUUCUCCGACUGACUUACUUCACUCAGCAUAAUACCCUCCAGUUCCAUCCACGUUGAAGCAAAUGGUGGGUAUUUGUCAUUUCUAAUAGCUGAGAAGUAAUGGUUUAAGAAUACAUCCAGCAUUUUGAUGUGUUAAGUAACUAGUAUUUAUGGAAUUCCAUUAAAUAAAUUUUAAUAUGUAUACGAGGUUCCUAUGAAAACCCAUAAUGGGAUGUAUUUGAUUAGUUUCUUUGUUGUAAUUCAGUGUUUAAUUUACCUAUGCUCUAUAUCCAUAAAUGACAUCAUCGUUAGACAUAGUAUGAUAUAGUAGGAAAUGCACAAGUUUUUAGAUAGAAAUCAGUUCCAUUAUUUACAUGCUGUAACCUUUCCAACAUGGCUGCUGUGAUGCACAACUUUAUUUUAUUUAUUUAUUUAUUUAUUUUAACCAAUCGAUGCACAACUUUAGAGGCCAUCAUUCAUAUUUGUUGUGUUCCAGGGAACACCAUUUUCUUCUUUUUUUUUUUUUUAAGAUUUUAUUUAUUCACGAGAGAGAGAGAGAGAGAGAGGCAGAGACACAGACACAAGCUCCAUGCACCGGGAGCCCGAUGUGGGAUUCGAUCCCGGGUCUCCAGGAUCGCGCCCUGGGCCAAAGGCAGGCGCCAAACCGCUGCGCCACCCAGGGAUCCCCCCAGUCCUACUUUAAAGAGGAAAAAAAAUGGUUUAGGGAAGGUGCAAAAGUUACACAACUGAUUGGUGGGAGAACAAGGAUUCCAGUCUAGAUCUAUCAAAUUCAAGAGCCUAAACGCUAAGCAUCUCCCCACACCAUUCAACAAAUGUUUAUUGAAAUGAAAAUUAUGUGUAUGUGGCCUAUAGACAGAUAACUUCAAAUAUAUUCAAAUAUCACUCAAUAUUA
rnacentral:lncRNA from 1 species